UACGGAGGGUGCAAGCGUUGUCCGGAAUCACUGGGCGUAAAGGGCGCGUAGGCGGCUCAUGAAGGCUGUGGUGAAAGUCCGGGGCUCAACCUCGGAUCGGCCGUGGCGACUCGUGGGCUGGAGCACUGUAGAGGCGGGUGGAAUUCCGGGUGUAGCGGUGGAAUGCGCAGAUAUCUGGAGGAACACCAGUGGCGAAGGCGAGUCCCUGGACAACUCCUGACACUGAGGCACGAAAGCUAGGGGAGCAAACAGG
rnacentral:rRNA from 1 species